rnacentral:lncRNA from 1 species
AUGGUCAGGGACAGCAUUUCUGAAGGGAUGACCUCGAAGGCUGAACUGUGGAAGAAAUGUGCCGUUGCAGAGCUAGGAGAAUAUUCUCCUAGCAACAGGGGUGGAGGCCAUGGAUUUGGAAAGUCCUCUUCAUGUGGGAGGGACCUCCAGGGUGUCAUCAACAUAGCAGAGUACAGAGACUGGAGGGGUUUAUGUACUAUGAGACUUUCUCCUCAUUUCAUCUCUUCUUGGACGCACAAUCUAAGAAGAAUUCUCAAGAAUGGAAUUUUAGGAUCGUGAAAGAGAGAGAGCUAGAGAUAUCAAAUGGGCAAUAUGCAAAGUUGGUUUGUGCUUAACCAAUGUAAAUUCAGGGCCACGUGAGGACGUGCCUGCUGCAAAAUAGUCCACAGUCCACAGUCCUGCCUAGAAAUGCCAAUAUAUGCCUGAAAAUGCUACCAUGAGAAUUCCUGCAGUGCAGAUGACACAACAAAGAGACUUGCUCUGGAUCUACAGUGGCCACUGGCUAUGAAGCACUUGAAAUGUGGCCAGUGCUCCCAUGUUGAAAUGAAAAUAUUUGAU